rnacentral:lncRNA from 1 species
CGAUAUAAAGCUCGUUAGAAUAACGAGAGAUUUUUGGACCAAAAGUCCAAGGUAUAUAUUUCUCCAAAGAAUGAAAUGAAAGAUGACCUUGAGGUAUGAAAAACGGCUUGUUCCAAGGUCACUGGAGAAAAUUUAAAAUAGAUGAAAUAUAUUGAAAUGUCUGGCAGGAAAAAAAUAACUUAAGUUGCAUCUUGAUGUUUAGUAGUCCCUGGAGAGUUAAAGAUACUCUCGGGAAUAUAUAAAAC